GACGAACGCUGGCGGCGUGCUUAACACAUGCAAGUCGAACGUGAUUUUUGUGGAAAUUCUUUCGGGAAUGGAAAUGAAAUGAAAGUGGCGAACGGGUGAGUAACACGUGAGCAACCUACCUUACACAGGGGGAUAGCCGUUUGAAACGACGAUUAAUACCGCAUGAGACCACAGAAUCGCAUGAUAUAGGGGUCAAAGAUUUAUCGGUGUAAGAAGGGCUCGCGUCUGAUUAGCUAGUUGGAAGGGUAAAGGCCUACCAAGGCGACGAUCAGUAGCCGGUCUGAGAGGAUGAACGGCCACAUUGGAACUAGACACGGUCCAAACUCCUACGGGAGGCAGCAGUGGGGAAUAUUGCACAAUGGGGGGAACCCUGAUGCAGCGACGCCGCGUGAGCGAAGAAGGUUUUCGAAUAGUAAAGCUCUGUCCUAUGAGAAGAUAAUGACGGUAUCAUAGGAGGAAGCCCCGGCUAAAUACGUG
rnacentral:rRNA from 1 species